rnacentral:rRNA from 1 species
UAGGGAAUCUUCGGCAAUGGACGGAAGUCUGACCGAGCAACGCCGCGUGAGUGAAGAAGGUCUUCGGAUCGUAAAGCUCUGUUGUUAGAGAAGAACGUUGGUAGGAGUGGAAAAUCUACCAAGUGACGGUAACUAACCAGAAAGGGACGGCUAACUACGUGCCAGCAGCCGCGGUAAUACGUAGGUCCCGAGCGUUGUCCGGAUUUAUUUGGCGUAAUGCGGGCGCAGGCGGUUCUUUAAGUCUGAAGUUAAAGGCAGUGGCUUAACCAUCAUACGUUGUGGAAACUGGAGGCCUUGAGUGCAGAAGGAGAGAGUGGAAUUCCAUGUGUAGCGGAGAAAUUCGUAGAUACAUGGAGGAACACCGGUGGCGAAAGCGGCUCGCUGGUAAGUAACUGACGCAGAGGCUCGAAAGCGUGGGGAGCAAACAGG